rnacentral:rRNA from 1 species
AAGACCUUGCGCUUUUGGAGCGGCCGAUGCCUGAUUAGCUAGUUGGUGGGGUAAUGGCCUACCAAAGCUUCGAUCAGUAGCUGGUCUGAGAGGACGGCCAGCCACACUGGGACUGAGACACGGCCCAGACUCCUACGGGAGGCAGCAGUGGGGAAUUUUGGACAAUGGGCGCAAGCCUGAUCCAGCCAUGCCGCGUGAGUGAAGAAGGCCUUCGGGUUGUAAAGCUCUUUCAGCCGGGAAGAAAAGGUUGCGACUAAUAAUCGCAAUUCAUGACGGUACCGGAAGAAGAAGCACCGGCUAACUACGUGCCAGCAGCCGCGGUAAUACGUAGGGUGCGAGCGUUAAUCGGAAUUACUGGGCGUAAAGGGUGCGCAGGCGGUUUUGUAAGUCAGAUGUGAAAUCCCCGGGCUUAACCUGGGAACU